AGAGUUUGAUCAUGGCUCAGAACGAACGCUGGCGGCGUGCCUAACACAUGCAAGUCGUGCGAGAAAGUCACUUCGGUGGCGAGUAAAGCGGCGCACGGGUGAGUAACACGUGGGUAACCUGCCCUUGAGUCUGGGAUAACCCGGGGAAACUCGGGCUAAUACCGGAUACGGCCGUGAGGUCCUCGGACCUUGCGGAGAAAGACGGCGCUCCUUCGGGAGCUUUCACUCGAGGAUGGGCCUGCGUCCCAUUAGCUAGUUGGUGAGGUAACGGCCCACCAAGGCAAAGAUGGGUAGCUGGUCUGAGAGGAUGGCCAGCCACACUGGAACUGAGACACGGUCCAGACUCCUACGGGAGGCAGCAGUGGGGAAUUUUGGGCAAUGGGCGAAAGCCUGACCCAGCAACGCCGCGUGUGGGAUGAAGGCCCUCGGGUCGUAAACCACUGUCAGGAGGAAAGAAUGGCCGGCCGGAUAAUACUCGGUCGGUUUGACGGUACCUCCAAAGGAAGCGCCGGCUACUCCGUGCCAGCAGCCGCGGUA
rnacentral:rRNA from 1 species